AUUGAACGCUGGCGGAAUGCUUUACACAUGCAAGUCGAACGGCAGCACGGGUGCUUGCACCUGGUGGCGAGUGGCGAACGGGUGAGUAAUAUAUCGGAACGUAUCCAAUAAUGGGGGAUAACUGAUCGAAAGGUUGGCUAAGACCGCAUACGCCCUACGGGGGAAAGCUAGGGACCUUCGGGCCGGGCGUUAAUGGGGGGGCCUAUAUCUGAUUAGCUAGUUGGUGGGGUAAUGGCCUACCAAGGCGACGAUCAGUAGCUGGUCUGAGAGGACGACCAGCCACACUGGAACUGAGACACGGUCCAGACUCCUACGGGAGGCAGCAGUGGGGAAUUUUGGACAAUGGGCGCAAGCCUGAUCCAGCCAUUCCGCGUGAGUGAAGAAGGCCUUCGGGUUGUAAAGCUCUUUCGCAAGGGAAGAAAACUUAUCCUCUAACAUAGGAUGAGGUUGACGGUACCUUGAUAAGAAGCACCGGCUAACUACGUGCCAGCCGCCGCCGUAACAC
rnacentral:rRNA from 1 species